GGGCCUCUAGCUCAAUUGGUUAGAGCAGCGGACUCAUAAUCCGUUGGUUCUCGGUUCAAGUCCGAGGGGGCCCACCA
rnacentral:tRNA from 1 species